GAUGAACGCUGGCGGCGUGCCUAAUACAUGCAAGUCGAGCGAACAGACGAGGAGCUUGCUCCUCUGACGUUAGCGGCGGACAGGUGAGUAACACGUGGAUAACCUACCUAUAAGACUGGGAUAACUUCGGGAAACCGGAGCUAAUACCGGAUAAUAUAUUGAACCGCAUGGUUCAAUAGUGAAAGACGGUUUUGCUGUCACUUAUAGAUGGAUCCGCGCCGCAUUAGCUAGUUGGUAAGGUAACGGCUUACCAAGGCAACGAUGCGUAGCCGACCUGAGAGGGUGAUCGGCCACACUGGAACUGAGACACGGUCCAGACUCCUACGGGAGGCAGCAGUAGGGAAUCUUCCGCAAUGGGCGAAAGCUUGACGGAGCAACGCCGCGUGAGUGAUGAAGGUCUUCGGAUCGUAAAACUCUGUUAUUAGGGAAGAACAAAUGUGUAAGUAACUAUGCACGUCUUGACGGUACCUAAUCAGAAAGCCACGGCUAACUACGUG
rnacentral:rRNA from 1 species